rnacentral:rRNA from 1 species
CCUACGGGAGGCUGCAGUGGGGAAUAUUCCGCAAUGGGCGCAAGCCUGACGCAGCAACGCCGCGUGAAUGAAGAAGGUCUUCGGAUUGUAAAGUUCUGUUCUGAGGGAAGAAGACUUAGGUAGUGAAUAAUGACUUAAGGUGACGGUACCUAUGGAGAAAGCUCCGGCUAACUACGUGCCAGCAGCCGCGGUAAGACGUAGGGAGUGAGCGUUGUCCGGAAUUACUGGGCGGAAAGGGCGCGUAGGCGGGAAGUUAAGUUAGAUGUGAAAACUCCGGGCUUAACCUGGGGACUGCAUUUAAAACUGGGUGUCUUGAGGGCAGGAGAGGAAAGUGGAAUUCCUAGUGUAGCGGUGAAAUGCGUAGAUAUUAGGAGGAACACCAGUGGCGAAGGCGACUUUCUGGACUGUACCUGACGCUGAGGCGCGAAAGCGUGGGGAGCGAACAGGAUUAGAUACCCCAGUAGUC